GUUCCAGCCUAGCCUAGUGGACAUGGCAUCUGCCCGGUAAGCGGAACAUUUUGGGUUCGAUUCCCAUCCCUGGACA
rnacentral:tRNA from 1 species